rnacentral:lncRNA from 1 species
UUUACCGACCAUAUGCACAAUCGUAUCUAACACAGUUAACUAAAUAUUUAAUAAUUAAUAUUCAAAAUUCUAAGUUCGAGGCCGUAGAAAGAAGUCCUUUCUCUCUCAAAAAAAUAGGGAAAAAGAACUCUAAGCCUCCGUUUGAUUUGGGGUUGAGAAAAAAGUAACUAUUACAGGGAUAGAGUUAAGUUCAGGAUUAAAGUGGGGUUAAAAUUUUUUGUGUUUGGUUGGGGGUUGGAGUUAGUCUAGAAUAAUGAAAAAUAGUGUUUGGUUGGAGUUGGUGGGAUAAGAAGAUAAUGAUUGAUAAAGAAGGAUAAUGAUUGGUUGGAGUAGGUGUGAUAAGAAAGAUAAUGGGUUAUUAUGAAUAGAAAAUAGUGUUUGGUUAGAGUUUGGUGGGAGUAGGUGGAAUUAGCUAACCCGGGAUAAUUUAUUUGAGGUGGGAUUAGCUUUGGGGUGUUUGGGGAUAAAAUGGGGGUUAAGGGGUUAUUCCACCCCUUAACCCCCAACCAAACAAGGGCUAAAAAGAUUUUAAAAAAAGAGCUCUGGAAAGCACAUCAAAAGUUAUAUACACAUUACCUACCAAUGCGUCUUACCCAACGGUCGACUUUUCAGGUGGAAUUUAGUAAGCAUGUAUCGGCUCCCACGUUGUUACCUCUUGGCGCCAAAUAAAGACUAGGAGUUAUUGCUUGAAAAGCUCCAUCACUAAAAAUUUACAGAAACAGGCUAUAUAACAUAAUACUUACGCUUCCAUUGUCUCUUCCAUUCGUUUCACCAGUCCCUUUGUUAGUAAUUAGCACCAUUUUGUACCAUAAAACCCUCCAAACCCUUUGAUUUCAUCGGGACCGUCUCACAAAAAUAUAGCUUCCGACAAUGGCCAAUCAACCAGGAAGAAGAAACUCCAGCGGCGAACUACUUGCAGAGAUCGCGAGCUUAAGUCAAACACUCAGCCGACCCCCCACCACCGGCAAUCGUCGCCGCACCGCCUCCCUCGCCCUGCCGCGCUCUGCCGCCCCGACGUUGGCCGACUUCGCCUCUGAUGGGCCGCAGAUCACCGAUGGGGCUCCUCGAACCGACCGCUGGAGCCACUCCUUCCGCUUCAUGCCCCUUUCUUCCUGGCGCUCCCGUCCGAAACCUAAAGCAGACACGGAAAGUGAGGGGACCGAUGCUGAUGAAAACCCUAAUUUCACGGCCCGGCCUCCGGAUGGGGAGAAGAAAGGUAUAUGGGGUUGGAAGCCGAUGCGAGCCCUCUCGCACAUCGGUAUGCGGCAUAUUGGGUGUUUGUUCAGAGUUGAAGUAGUCGCAAUCCGCUCCCUCCCAACUUCUAUGAACGGCCUCCGCCUCUCGGUCACGGUCCGGAAGAAGGAGAAGGCCAAGGAGGGAGCUGUGCAAACAAUGCCCUCCCGAGUGAUGCAAGGAAUUGCCGACUAUGAUGAAACCUUAUUUAUUAGGUGCAAUCUCUACUACAGCGGAGGUCGCGGCACAGGAAAGCCACUCAAGUUUGAGGGUCGCCCUUUUGUUAUCUCUGUGGUGGCUGUCGAUGCCCCUGAGCUUGGUUUCGGAAAGAGAACCAUCGACUUGAGUGCGAUGAUUCUCGAGUCAGUGGAAAAGAGUUUGGAGGGGCAGCGGCUUCGGCAGUGGGAGAGGACUUUUGAGCUCUCUGGAAAGGCAAAGGGGGCUGAAUUAGUUCUCCGGUUAGGGUUUCAGAUCAUGGAGGACGGACACCUCGGUAUCUACAAUCAGGCUUAUGUUAUAAAGUCGAAGGAUCAUGGAAGGAGCUCCUCUUUCUCCAUUGCACGGAACCAAUCAAAGUCUACUUACAGUGCUCCGAGCCCAAGUAUCACGAGAUCAGAUUCACCUAUCACUGAUCCAGAGAGAAAGUUAAAAGGAGUUGAUUACUUCAAUCACAAUGAUCGUGGAAUUUCAUCCUUGAAUCCCUGGUCAAUUCAGAAGUCAGAGCAAGAGAGAGUAGUGGAGGAUUUUGAUAUCCCAGAAUUUGAAGUCAUUGAGAAAGGAAUCGAGAUUCAAGGACAAAGCAAAGUUGAAGAGGUACAGUCGGAGUCCACGGAAGGGACCUCGGCCUCAAAUGGAAACGUUAAAGAGAUUGUUCGUGACAGUGCUCAUUUGGUUAGGCUUAAAGAGCUUGACUCGAUAGCAAAAGAAAUUGAGGCUCUUGAGUCAAUGAUCAUUGGAAAUAAUGCAGAUCCUAUUAUAUCACUACAACGAUCCCAAGAGCAGCAAUUAGAUGCUAAAGAGGAGAGAAUGACAAGGGAGUACCUCCGAAUGCUUAAGAUGCAAGAUAAUAAGCAGCUGAAACAAGAGCUUCUCUCCCCAAAAUUAGCAGGAGAUGGUGAAAAAGAUGGUGAAGUGAAGGUUCUCCUUCCGGAUUUAGGGAAGGGUCUGGGCUCCGUCAUUUGUACGCGGGAUGGAGGCUUCUUAAUUUCAACGAAUCCAUUUAAUAUAGAAGUAGCAAGGAAAGAGAGUCCAAAACUGGCUAUGCAUAUCUCGAGACCAUUCGUCUUCAAGAAUCAGAAGCUAGUAAGUGGGUUCGAAGUAUUUCAGAGAUUAGCUGCCAUGGGAUCUGAAGAGCUGAGUUCUAAAUUGCUCUCAUUGGUUGAUAUGGACGAAUUGACGGGUAAAAGUGCAGAAAAGAUAGCAUUCGAGGGCAUUGCAUCGGCCAUCAUAAGUGGGAGGAACAAGGAAGUAGGAAGCUCGAGUGCAACUAGAACAAUCCUGAUUGCUAAACAGAUGGCUGCAGCGAUGAGCGAAGGUAGAAAGCAAAGGAUUUCCACGGGAAUUUGGAGUACAAAGAAGGACCCUAUGAUGAUAGAAGAAAUCUUGGGGUUCUCUCUGCAAAAGAUGGAGGCCAUGGCAGUGGAGGCUCUGAAGAUUCAGGCUGAGAUGGCCGAAGAAGAAGCCCCAUUUGAUGUUUCUCCACUUAUCUUGAAAGAUAAUCCAAAGUGCUUCUUGGAUUCCACCAUUUCACUUGAGGAGUGGGCCAAAAACUGCAGCAAAAACAGUGCAAUUACAAUGUCAGUAGUCAUUCAACUGCGAGACCCGUUAAGGAGUUACGAAGCUGUGGGGGGUCCCAUGAUUGCUGUGGUGCAGGCAAUGAAAGCAAAUAGUGAUGAAGAAGAUGGGUUUCAGUUUAAAGUGGAGAAUCUCCAUAUUGGGGGUCUGAAGGUGAAGGAAAGAGGGAAAAGGAAUGCUUUGGAUGGGGAGAAACAGAGGCUGACUGCUAUGCAAUGGUUGGUGGCCUAUAAUUUGGCGAAAGCAAAGAAAAAUAAGUUGGCGGAGGCAAAACCAAAACAAGAUUUUGUUUGGAGCAUGUCCUCACGAAUCAUGGCAGAUAUGUGGCUCAAGCCGAUGCGAAACCCUGACGUGAAAGUUUCUAGCAAGAGUAGAUGAGAUGUUGUUUAAUAAUAUAGGUUUAGUGCUAUUGUUUAAUAGUGAAAGGACAACUUGCUUUCGUGGAUAAUGCAUGUAUCGAACAUCUUGUUUUAUGUAUAGAAAUAGUUCAUGUUAUGUAAGUCUGACUCUAUUGUUGACUGAUCAACAAAGUAGGUGAAGUGAAAAAGUUUCCUUAGAGUACAUGCCAGUACAUUUUAUGUUAUUUUCCCAUUUUUCAAUUGAUGUUCUUAAUAACAACCUACAAGCACCAAAAGGAAGAAGAUUCUUUUCAGGACAAUCAGAAGAGCUUCAUCAGCUAUCUCUAACUUUAAUUCUUCACACUUUCAAAGCUAAGAAAUGAGCAAGGAAUCAACACAUGGUAGGAUAACCUAGAAAAGCUGCGUAAUUUCUAUUAAAAGCAAUAGAUAAAGAACUCCCGCCGAGAUUCAUACCGUAAUACAGCAAUUAGAAGAAAUCAAUGAAAUUGUAAUUUAUAAAUAAAGCUUACAAAGCAGUAUGUUUACCUAUCUCAAUCUGUCAAUUGUUGCCUGCAUAGACAAGAAAGAAAAUGCUGCAACCCAAUCAAACUUAAAAGAUUCAGUGUAUCUGUAAGCAUAAUUUAUGCAAUUGUUGGGUAACAAAGAAUAAAUGAGUAAAACAUAAAAGGUGAAGGAACAACCUCCACUUCACCAGUAGUCACUGCAAGAGCAAGAUCCUUCUCUAAAAUGGUGAAAGCGAAUGCCAUCCCUAACUAUCAAUUCCCUACCAGCAAUCAAUGAUAUUAACUUGAUUACGGUGUGACAAUCACUGCAUAUCCGAAGAUUCUUCAUAAUAUGGAUGGGCAUCCAAGUAGGCAAGCUCAUUAGUCCAAAGGCCACAGCUAGUUUCUCACUAUGAUGUCUCUCUGAUCGUAAGCUCAUUGUUUUAAUGUACCCAACAGCUUCAAUCUUUUCAAUCAGUUCAUCAAGCUUUCGUUGAAUAUGAAUAAUUUGAGGGUGGCUAACAUCAUCCGCUUUAAAAACAUGAAUCAUAUUCUCAACCUCAAUCCAGCUAUGCCCAGGAUUCUUUUUAAUCCCUCUGUCUCUCAUUAGUUUUCUUACUUGUGCAGAAUCGUUUGACUUUCCAGCAUCACAAUAUAUCUUUGCCAGAAGCAUAUAGCUUCCAGAAUCUUUUGAAUCUAACUCUAAUAGAUGUUUCCCGGCAAGCUCUGCAAGUUCUGCAUUGCCAUAGUUCUUGCAAGCUGCGAGAAGAGCUCCCCAAACUUCAGCACUAGGUUGGAUUGGCAUAUUGACUAUGAAAUUUUUAGCUUCUUCCAAAAGCCCUGCUCUGCCAAGAAGAUCUGCCAUGCAAGAAAAAUGCUCUAAACCUGCGCAUAUGUUAUGAACUCUAGUCAUGGAGUCAAAAUAAAAUUUGCCUUCCUGUACAAGUCCUGAGUGACUACAACCUGCUAAAACUGCAACAUAACUUAUAUAAUCUGGCUUUAUUCCCUUAGCUAACAUACUCUCGAAAAUCUUUAUUGCUUGCUUUCCCAUGCCAUGCUGCGCAUAUCCAGUUAUCAUAGCAUUCCAAGAAACUAAAUCCUUAUUUAUAACUGAAUCGAAAACCUCUCGAGCUUCUGCUAUCUUUCCACAUUUCGAGUACAUUGUGAUAACAGCAUUAGCCACCGAGUUAUCCAAAUUAAGCCCCACUUUAAUGGUAUGGGCAAUGAUCUGAUUGCCAAGUUUAACUGCAGCUAUUUCAGCACAAGCACUAAGCAACGACACGAAUGUAACCCAAUCUGGUCUCACAUCAUUUUCUCUAAGCAUGGCGGAGUACAUUUUGAGGCCCACUUCUUCAUCCCCAUUUUGUAUGUACGUGCCCAACAUUGCAUUCCAAGUGACUAUAUUCUUAGCAGCCAUUUUGUCGAAGAAUGUGCAGGCCUUAUUUAUAUUCCCCGCCUGAGAAUAUGCAGUUAUCAUGCUAGUCCACGAUAUGACAUCUUUCUCGGCCAUUAAAUCAAAGACCAACUCAGCACUCUGAACACUACCGCCCUUUGCAUACAUUGUGAUGAGCGAAUUAGACACAGGAAUAGCUAAAUCACAGCCACUCUUCAAGGAAAGUGAAUGCAACUGACUCCCAAGGCAUACAUCCACCUUGCCACAGCAAGCACUUAUCACAGUUGCUAGCGUGAAUUCAUCAUAAGUGAGAAACUCAGCUCUCAUCUGAUUAAACAAAUCUAUAGACUCAUUGAUGUACCCAUAAGUAGCAAAUCCCCCGAUAAGAGAUGUCCAUGAUACAGUGUUGCGGUCAGUUAAGGAGUCGAAUGUUCGUUUUGCUGCCUUCAGAUCGUCACAUUUGGCAUACAAGUGGACUAGCGCACUGCCAACAAAUGCAUCUAUUCCCAGUUGGGUUCUGAUUAUAUGAGCAUGAAGAUGCUUACCCCAAUCCAAAUUAGAGACAUUAGCACAUGCACUAAGAAUGCUCGUGUAAGUCGUAGAAUUAAGUUCUAGACCAUUGUUACGCAUAUCUUUCAACAUGGAAAGGGCGUCGCUAUCUCGUCCAUGUUGUGACAAUAUUGAUAUCAUCAUAUUCCACGAGACAAUAUCUCGUUCCGGCAUCCUAUCAAACAACUCGAUGGCACGUCCUACACCGUAGAAUCUCGAAUAACCCAAAAGCAUGCUGUUCCAGAAAAAAAGGUUCGGGCUUUCCAGCUGAUCAAACAACUUGGAAGCUAAGUCCAUUGCUCCACAUUUAACAUACAUAUCAACUAGAGCUCCCUCGACCUGCGCAUCUCUUCCAAAAUCAAACUUCUCAACAAAUCCAUGCAAUUGAAGGCCCAACCCCUGACACCGAAGGGCGCCGCAAGCUUUCAUUGUGCACGUGAGCGUAAACAUAUUUGGUCCACAAUCUGCGGAGCUGUUCAUGCAAACAAAAGCCUUUACGGCGUCCGAGAACCGUCCGUUUUGGAAGUACCCCGACAUGAGCGUGUUCCAAGAGGUGGUAUCCCUCACGGGCAUUUCAUCGAACACCUUCACCGCGUCAUCCAAAUGAGCAAACUUGGAGUACCCAUUAAUCAUCAUGUUGUGGGAGAUCACAUUGGGCGCGGCGAUGCCCUCGAAGACGCGGCGCGCGUCGUCGAGGGAGCCGCAGCUGAGGUAGGUGUGGAGGAGGUUGUUCUGGAGGAAGGUGGAGGAGGCGAGGCCGAGGGAGAUGAGGCGCGCGUGGAGGCUCCGCGCGGCGGAGAUGGAGGAGGAGGAGGAGGAGGAGGAGGAGGGGGAGGUCGCGCACGCUCGCAUGGCGUCGGAGAGCUCCUGGGUGAGGGCCAUGUACGCUUGGGGAGAGGGCAUGGGGGUAGAGGAGGAAGGGGUUCGUCUUUGGUGGGAGAAGGGGAGAGGCGAAGAGAGCUUCGAACGAGGCCAUGAGAGCUUGACCAUCCAACAAUGGCGCCUCUUCUCGUGGCGGGGUGUCGCAUUCCACGCUUCGCUCUGAGAGCUCCUCGAAGUGUUUGAUCUGCGCGCGAUCCAAUUGGACUUCGCUAUUCUAUUUAUGGUUUUUUUUUUUUUUUUUUUUUUUUUUUUUUUUUUUUUGAAAAAGCUUACCUGGUACAUUGGUGAAGGGAUCGUCAAUUUACACUCCUUAUUCCAUAAUUCAUAAAAAAUCUAAAUAAUUCAUAAUAAAAAAAAUAUUAAUAUGAUAACUAAAAAAUAAUAGUCCUUGAAUGAAGAGGAUAUAAUUAGCAUUGUUUUUUUGUUUUCUAUGUUUUACGAAAUUUUGUUAAGUUGUAUCUAUACGGGGGAUAAGUAUUGCAGUAACUUCGAAUUUGUUUGGUAACACGGAGCUCCAACCCGUAGAAGACGCAGGUUUUGUCUGUAUACCAACAACUUUACGUGUGACGGACGCAAGGUUGCGAGUUCGCACUGUAUACAAACAUAUCGCUCUAUGAGAUUGUCUUACCCAUGCAAUAAGGUGUGGACAACCGAAAAAGUCGGAGAUUGAAGUUCCUCCAAACUCCGAUGAUCUCGAGUUACACGAGCUCACAAGUUUCGUGCCUGACUUCGAUCUGAACAAACACCCUAAACUCCCUCUCUCCUAGGAGGUUUGAGGCAUUUAGAAAAUAAAUUUUGAUUUGAUGGCAUAAAUGAAAUAGGCAACUCUCUCUCUCUCUCUCUCUCUCUCUCUCUCUCUCUCUCUCUUUCUCUCUCUGGUAUAGAAUAUUUUAGAGUGCUCUAAAAAUAAGUGUUCUAGAAACAAGUGUCUCUACUUGCUAAUAAAGCACUCUAGAGUGCUCUAGAAUAUUCUAGAGUGCUCAAGUUGGUAGGUUGGGAGUCUAUAAAUAGAUGAGGACUCCUAUGUGUGAUGUUGUACGAAACGUGGGUGGUGAGAUAGUGUAGAGAGUGAGAGUGUAUUGAAUAGUGAAGUUAGUGUAUCUUUUAAUCUUUUUGGUGUAUGUGAUAAAACUAUAUAUGAAAAUUAUUUUAUGUGUAAUAAAAAAAAUUUUAUUAUUAGUUUUGUACGCCAAUAUUCUAUAAUAAACCCAACUUUGAGCAAAAUUUCGACUUUUCUUAUUGAUCGAAGGCCAAAGUAACUAUACAAAUUCUCUACUACCACCCUUUUGUUGUGAUAUAAUAUAGAUUUUUUGAUGGUUGACCACUGCAAUGAGGUUUAACACCCAGUCCGAGAUCUAUGACUCAAUUUUUCUGCAACCUUUUUGCAGCUUCAACUAGCUAGCUAUUAGGAUAUUCUGCAUGCACGGAUAGCAAAAAUUUUAAAAAAUAAAGAAAAAUACGAAUUAAAUUAUAAUUUAAAUCAAAUUUUCUGGAUCAAAUAAAAAUAUCCUAAUUGUAGAUACAUCUUACAUCUCUUUUUUUUAAAUAAACUGCUUAAAAACUAGAAAAAAAAAGAUCUGGUAUAAUCUAAUUUUAUUAUUUGAAUUGUGUAAAACCUGAUCCCCGAUCUAGAGUAGUCAAAAAAAUUUAUGUUUGAACACGGAUAUUAAUCCGGAUAAAAUAAUUUGUCUUGACAUGAUUUUCGGACGAAAAUUUUCAUUCGAAUUGUCAAACAAAUGUUUGGAAUUAUUAUAUUUAUUUAAAUACAUCCAAAAAUUGAUAAAAUUAUUCAAGAAAAGAAGAACUCUUCUUCUAACUUCCAAAGAGAGGUUUAUAAAAAAAAAAAUAAAAAAAAAAGGAAAAAGAAAAAAAGCCAGCAUAUAUUGAUGGAACCUACUCGUACGUUGGUGACGUCCUCAUCUGAGUGACAAUAAUAAUAAUGAUAACAUUUCAUUUAAGUGACAUAAUUAAUAUAAUAAGAUCUUCUAGCAUUAUGCUUUGAGGGUCAUUACAUCAACUUUAGGAGCAAAAUUUUCCAGCAUGAUGUAACACAUGAAAAUAAAAAAAACAUCACAAUCAAAAUAGUUUCAAUGACUCAGCAUUCAUAUUUUUCCACCAGAUUAUUGAUUCAAUUCAACUGCUAUAUAAGAACAACCAACUCAACGCAAUCGCGACCUAACGUACCAAAAUGCAAUAAAAAAUUAAAAAUUAAAAAAAUUAAAAUAAUCUUAAUAUUUGUACUCAUAUGUAUGAUCCGUAUUAACAUGUUGCGUCUACUGACUAAAAAGACCUAUAAAGUGUUAAAUGGAAGAGAUUUAAUCCAUUAAACAAUACAUAUAAAAGAAAACAAAAUUAUAAUCUUGUGCAUGAUCCUACUUUGAAAUCAUAUUUCAAAAGAUUUUAUAAUAUUAUUAAUGUGCUAAUCAAUUUAUAUGUUAUGUUAGAAUUCAUGUACGAGCUAAUUAAAAAUUAAUGAAUUAGAAAAUACAAAUAAAUAUAUUUUAGAGGAUCAGAAAUAAAUAUAUUUUUGUUUAUAUAUACAAUAAUGCAUAUUCUGUUCGCAUGUAUGAAUAUCUGAUUUAAAAUAUUUUUUUAAUAUAUAUUAUAAUAUAUAUAUAUAUAUAUUUAUUUAUUUAUUUAAUAUGUCAGAAGCGUGACUUUUAGAUUAUUUUUUAAAAAAUUUAUUUCAACAUUGAAAUAGGAUCAUAAAAAAUAGAAAUCAAAUUUAGACUUUUGUACUUUUUUAAGUAUCAUAUGAAAUAAUUAUUGAAUGUCUAUAAAAUUAUAUUUUAAUAAAAAUAAUUAUUUAAUGUCUAUUAAAAUUAUAUUUAAUAUUUUUUUAUAUAUUCCAUGAGCCAUGUGGCAUCCAUUGAUUGGUUCGAUCAUCGGUGGGUAGGACACGUGUACGAAAAUAACAAGGUGGGGACCAGUGACGUCAACUGACGGCCUCAUCUCCUAUUGAACCUGGACACCUGUCUCCUGUGGUGUCAGGCAUAUUUCUUUUUUUAUUAUAUAAAAAAUAAAUAUUUUUAUUUUUAUUUUUUUAUUUAUUUUGUUGGGUUCCGUAGGAGUCGCUACCGCACCACGGCACCCGAGACCCGCCUCAUCUCCGGAGCACUUUUGUCGUCUUCGUCCACGUGGCCACGCCUCCUUUAAAAUGCACCGAUACAAAGCAUUUUAUAUAAUUUUAUGCGCAAAAAUUUUUAAAAAACUUUAAAAAUCCUCCUGUGAUUUCGGAGUUUUUUAUUUUGCCUCCUUAUGGUUUAAAAUAUAUCAAUUUACUUUUCUGUGAUUUCUUUUUUCUCUUUUUCUGAUCAAUUUUAUUAUUUUUUUCUUAAAUCAGUGAUAAAGUUAAAAUUAAAGAAUACUAAAAUAUAUAUUUGAUAAAUCUAGAUGGGUAUCUGAAGUUUUUUUUGUAUAUAAUUUAAUGAAAUAUUAACGAAAAAGCUACCGAAAAGAUAAAAACGAAACCACAGGAGGACAAAUUGAUAUAUUUUAAACCACAUGGGGGCAAAGUGAGAAACUACGAACCGACAGGGGGGUUUUUGAAGUUUUUCCAAAAUUUUAUAUAUACAAAAUUAUUUUAUCAUAGCAAUCUAACCGUACAGUACAACGACGAGAUCGAUUUGGACCAGUGAUAUCAAACCCAUGAACUUGCACGGUGAGAUCGAACUAGACAAAUCAAUCAAUUACUCUGGAUGGUGUAUUAAACUCAAAUAAGUGGACUUGUACCGAACUCACCGCUAUACAGUAUACACAACUUUGUCCGGAUAUAGAAGUACGUCACGUUCGCGAGUUAUAUUUGUAUUUGGUUAUGGAUAUAUAUACAAUAAUCUCUAUCAAUUUACAGUAAAUUUUUAAAAUUUUAAUUUAUGAACAUGUUGUUUUAGUCGUAUUAACAUUGUCGUGUUUGACGGACCGUCCCUAAAGCAAGUGGUAAAGGAUUUGAUGGUUGGUACCCGAGGUCUCAAGUUCGAAUCCUAAUUGAUUCACAUUUCAAGCUAAAUUUAUUUUUAAAUAAAAUAAACGAAACGACUAACGUGUUACCUACGAGAGAAAAAAAAUAAAUAUUGUUGUGUUUGCGACUUUAGCAUAUUUGUAUUAUCAUGUCGUGUCUAAAUUGAAGCGACUGGAAUCGCAUUGGAUUCUAGAUUUCAUCACACGUGGCACGCUUUUUAAAGCGCGAUGGAUUCGCGUGGAAAAAAAGUUAGAAGCUCUUCCACGCAUGAAGAGGAAUCGCACACAAUCCUUGGCAAAAUUAUUAACGUAAUUAAUAACUAAAAAAAAAGUAAUAUGAAACUAAAACGGUAUUAAUUAAAAAGAAAAAAGUGAGAAUGCUAUUUCAGAGGAACCUAGUUUAUCCCUCAGGACUUGGAUAGAUAAUGCAUCUCAAAACUUAGAAAAUAUAUAAUUUAUCUGUGAUUUUCAAAAUCGCCCUUUUUGUUUUCAAAUUUAUCUCUGAAAAUAUCAUGUUCAUUCAAAUAUGCUUCUGCGCGCCCUUGAAAAAUUAUUGAGAAACUUUGAAUUUUUACAGAAUAUCGUCGUGACGAAUAUAGGAAUAAAUUUUAAAAAAUAUAGUGUGGCAUGCUCAGUAAUGAGAUCUCGAACCAAAUUAUAUAUACAACUCACAUGCCGUAAGAGAAGCAAAAUGGGGACAACUCACUUUCUGCUUAUUUGCACUAAUAAUGCACUCAUUUGUUGUUUCUUGUACGCAAUUACUAGACAUAUAUUGACUCUAACUGUAUUGCUGUAUCAGCAUCUAAAUAUUGUAACUAAAAGAGCAAAAAGAGGUUAUGUUGAUAUAUUUAUAGAGAGAGAGUUCGUACUUUUAUCAGUGUUUUUUUUGUACUCAUAAGUUUUCGGCCGUUAAAUUUAUUCGUUAGAUCAUACUAUUCAACCAACUACCCGUUCAAUCUUAGAAGGCUGGUAUCAUUCUAACAUGAAACAGCUAUUAUCCUAACCGCACAUCCCUUCCAUCCAACGACCGAAAUUUAUGAGUAUAAAGGGUUUUAUGCUCAUAAGAGUAUAGUAGACUUGGCAUAUAUAUAUAUAUAUAUAUAUAUAUAUAUAUAUAUAUAUAUUUUCGAGAGAUAGGUAGCAAACUACCUGUUUCGUUUUUUUCUAUUUAGAAAUAAACUUAGAUAGAAUUGUGAAUCAACUAAAAUUCGAACUUGGAUACUCGGGCAUAUUGGUGCUAUUACAUUUUCGGUUCUUGGAUGAAGAGAUGCGCGGUUAGGAUGGUUGUGGUCCUCUAAGAUUUGGUGGGUGGUUGGUGAAAUAAUAUGAUAUAAUGGGUGGAAAUGGUCUUAGGAUCUAAUGGUGGAAAACUUGGUAGCACCAAGUAUUUGGUGCUUUAUAGCAUCGUAGUCGAACUAUAUAUAUAUAUAGUAGAGCUACUAUGCUAUCGGAAGCAUAGAGGAUCUGGUGCUUCCGAUUUUUUGGUCCUUAGAUCAACCCCUUUAAUCAUUUCUAAUAUUUGGAUUAAUACUAUUAUCUUGUGGGGACUACUCAACCCUAGGGGUACUACUCAACCCUGGGGGACCGCAAUCAUCCCAACAGUAUAAUUUUUGAUCUAAUGGUCAAAAAGUUGGAAGCAUGAGAUUCUCUAUACUUCCGAUAGCAUAGUAGCUCUACACACACACACACACACACACUCACACAUCUAUAUAUAUAUAUAUAUAUAGAAUUGGGCUCAUAUGCUUUUAAAAGUACCAAGUUAUUGGUGCUUAUAGAUUUGUGGCCAUUGGAUUAAGGAAUGUGCGAUUAGGAUAAUGUGCCUCCUAGGGUUGAGUGGGUGGUUGGUUGAAUAAUAUAAUCUAACGGUUAAAAAUGAUCAAAGGAGUAGAUCUAACAGUACAAAAUUUACAAACACCAAGCUACCGUUUGGUUCGGGGUUAAGAAAAAACUAGUUAUUCCAGGGAUAUGGUUAAGUUCAGGAUUAAGGUGGGGUUAGAGUAUUUUUGUGUUUGGUUGGGGGUUGGAGUUAGUCGAGGAUAGUGAAAAAUAGUGUUUGGUUAGAAUAGGUGGGAUAAGAAAGAUAGUGGGUUAUUAUGAAUAGAAAAUAAUGUUUGGUUGAGGUUUGGUGGGGUUAAGUGGGGUUAGCUAACCCGGAAUAGCCUAUUUGAGGUGGGGUUAGCUAACCUCACCCAUUUUUAGAGUGUUUGGGGAUAAUAUGGGGGUUAAGGGGUUAUU